UUACUUUAUAAAAACUGGGAAAAUAUACUUGAAAGAGGUUUGGCUUUUCUGAUCAUUUAUUUUAUGAAACACUUUGAUGCUCUAUUCUGGGGAUACAAAUGCUCAGGGGAGAACGAAGUGGGCAUUUGGAAAAUGGCAUUCCUAUGAAGAAAGCACGAAAUGAUGAAUAUGAGAAUCUGUUUAAUAUGAUUGUAGAAAUACCUCGGUGGACAAAUGCUAAAAUGGAGAUUGCCACCAAGGAGCCAAUGAAUCCCAUUAAACAAUAUGUAAAGGAUGGAAAGCUACGCUAUGUGGCGAAUAUCUUCCCUUACAAGGGUUAUAUAUGGAAUUAUGGUACCCUCCCUCAGAUAUUGAUGAUGUUAAGAAGUUCAAACCGGGUUACCUGGAAGCUACUCUUAAUUGGUUUAGAUUAUAUAAGGUACCAGAUGGAAAACCAGAAAACCAGUUUGCUUUUAAUGGAGAAUUCAAAAACAAGGCUUUUGCUCUUGAAGUCAUUAAAUCCACUCAUCAAUGUUGGAAAGCAUUGCUUAUGAAGAAGUGUAAUGGAGGAGCUAUAAAUUGCACAAACGUGCAGAUAUCUGAUAG
rnacentral:sRNA from 1 species